AUGCUUUUGUGGUUCAUAAGCGUGAUGAUUGAGUUUACAUACAUCUGUGUGCCCUGUGCCUCUCUCCAACCUUGUUAUGAUAUCGGCACAUUACCUGUCUGAUG